rnacentral:rRNA from 1 species
AGCUCCAAUAGCGUAUAUUAAAGUUGCUGCAGUUAAAAAGCUCGUAGUUGGAUUUGUGGCGCGGUCGUCCGGCGGGGCUUCCGGUUUCAUAGUAUCCCGGGGCCGUUUGUCUGGGUUCUUGGCCGCCCCAUUCUUCGGUUGCGUGUUGCUGGCAUUAGGUUGUCGGCUUCUUCGCGCCGAUCGUUUACUGUGAAAAAAUUAGAGUGUUCAAAGCAGGCUUAGGCCGUUGGAUACAUUAGCAUGGAAUAAUGAGAUAGGGCCACGGCGGUCUAUUUUGUUGGUUUGCACGUUGUGGUAAUGAUUAACAGGAACGGUUGGGGGUAUUCGUAUUCAAUUGUCAGAGGUGAAAUUCUUGGAUUUAUGGAAGACGAACUACUGCGAAAGCAUUUACCAAGGAUGU